AAAUCUUAUUUACACAGUUCUCCAGUAAUGACAAGAAGCAUGUUCUUCAUACCCUACUACAAACCAACUGUAAGAAUAGACGCUUCCACACAACACGAAUUUAAACUCAUCGCCCCCGAGAUGAACUGAUCGAAUCCAUGGUUCUGCCGGCACGGGCUAGCCGGAUAAACGGUAAAAGUUGCUAAUAACAGCACCGUCUCAUGCCAAUAUCCAAAUUAACGAAGAAAUUGAGACCAACCAACUCUACCGCGUACACCAGCUCCACCAUCUACCAUGUAUGCUAUCUUCCCUACCGCUUUUCAGCUUCCCAUCAAUUAGACAG
rnacentral:lncRNA from 1 species